CCUACGGGGGGCUGCAGUGGGGAAUAUUGGACAAUGGGCGAAAGCCUGAUCCAGCCAUGCCGCGUGUGUGAAGAAGGCCUUCGGGUUGUAAAGCACUUUCAGUGGGGAAGAAAGCCUUGGGGCUAAUACCCUCGAGGAAGGACAUCACCCACAGAAGAAGCACCGGCUAACUCCGUGCCAGCAGCCGCGGUAAUACGGAGGGUGCGAGCGUUAAUCGGAAUUACUGGGCGUAAAGCGCGCGUAGGCGGUCUGAUAAGCCGGUUGUGAAAGCCCCGGGCUCAACCUGGGAACGGCAUCCGGAACUGUCAGGCUAGAGUGCAGGAGAGGAAGGUAGAAUUCCCGGUGUAGCGGUGAAAUGCGUAGAGAUCGGGAGGAAUACCAGUGGCGAAGGCGGCCUUCUGGACUGACACUGACGCUGAGGUGCGAAAGCGUGGGUAGCAAACAGGAUUAAUACCCGAGUAGUC
rnacentral:rRNA from 1 species